ACCUUCUAUUAAUCGUUAUAGUGACAAUAAUGGUCUUCCUUAACUUCAAGCAACAUUAACGAGAAAGUUGUGAGAUGUAAACAAUUUGCACAAGUCCUAGGUAAUGGUUACUACAGGUGCCAAUCAGGAGCAUAGUUGGGGAGAGAUUUUCGGUGGUAAUGAAUUGGUGGUCAAAUCCAA